AGUCCAAGCUUAUCUUCUCUCUUCUCUCUCCUCUCUCUUCUUUCUUCCCCCUCACGACAGAACCAGCUCCUAUCUUCUCCUUCUUUUCUUCGCGUGCGAACCGGAAGCCCGGAGACAGCAGCUCGCCCCUCAGCCGUCGCCGCUCGUCUCGCCGCCGCACCGGAGCCGAACCGCCCGUGCGCCCUUGCACGCCGCACGUCCGCCGUUCGCCGCCCUCGCGCCGCCUACGCUUUCCGUCCUUGCCGUGCGACCCAGCUCCCGUUCGGUUUCUGUUCAGCCACCGUGAGCGGCUGAGCAGGCCGCCGGAGCCGCCGUCCGGCCUCACCGGAGCUUCGCCCACUCUCCCGACCUCUUGCCGCCCCCAACCCUCUCUCUUUCUCUCUGUUUUGCAGCCGAUCCAUCAAACCCGCGAGUGGGUUUCAGCCGGUUCGUGAGCUGUUUUGGGCCGUUUCCGGGCCCCGGAUCCGUGAAUCGCUUUGGGAAGUUUCGUUCCUCGCGUCGCCGCCGUCGGAUUGAUCCGAUUUGUGCGCGAUUUGGUGAGUAAUCUCACUAAUCUUGGAUUAGUUGGCUAAUUAUGCUUAAGGUUGGUUUAGAUUUAAUUAAUUAUGUUAUGUUUAGGUUGUUAGAUUAGAAUAAAUUAGCAAUUAUUAGUCAAUUGUGAUGUGAUUUAGAUAAUUUGAUUGUGCAAUUAACAAGUAGACGUGGUCUACUAAUUAUUGGAAGUGUCUCGGGAUUUUUCCCAACCCUUAGUGGGCUCCAAUUAGGCUUUUCGGGCCUAAGUGGAUAUUUUUAGUAUUUAAUUAUUAAUUUUAGGAAUUGCAUUAAAUAAUUAUUUAUUUUGUGAAAAUUCAACUGAGAUGGCUCGGGACCGGAAUAUUGUGCUGAUGACCGUGGUGAAGUCCGUUUAUUUAAUCGGGCUUUAUUUUGAGCUAAAUUGAAUUUUUUAAUAUUAAUUAUUUAAUUUUCGAAAUUAAUUAAUUAUUUAAUUAUUUUUCGGAAAUUAAGAUUUUGAUGGCCGGCGACCGAAAUCUCGUGCUGAUUGUCGUGGCGCAGUCCGUUUAUUUAUUUGAGCUCUACGUUGUAUGGAAUUGAAUGAAUUGUGAUAUUUUAGGGAUUUACCCUAAAUUGAUUGGAAUCGAUUGAGAUUGAAUUAUCGAUUGGUGAAUGGCCAAGUAUGUUUAUUCAGCAUUUAUAAUGCUUUGUUGAGUUAAUUUAAUUAUUUGAUUGAGUAUUGAUUGGUGAAUGGCCAAGUAUGUUAUUCAGCAUUUAUAAUGCUUUGUUGAGUUGAUUUAAUUAUUUGAUUGAGAAAUCGUUGGCCAUUGGUUGCCGGUGUUGAAAGUAGAUUUGGUGACCACUUGAAAGAGGACACGUGUGCCCAGUGAAUUGGAAUGUCACCUGGAGAAUGCACGUGAGUUCAGUGGUUGAAUAUGUCACCUUGGCGAAGAGGUCGCCUGAGAGAAUGCACGUGGCUCGGAGACUUGGUAUGUCGUCCUGGAGAAUGCACGUGGCUCGGUGACAGAGUUUGGCAUCUAAAAGGGCACGUGGCUCGGUGAUCUGAUGCGUCACUUUGGUAAGCGAGUACCUUAGAGAAUGCACGUGAGCCAAGGCAUCUAAAAGGACACGUGGCUCGGUGAUCUGAUGCGUCACUUUGGUAAGCGAGUACCUUAGAGAAUGCACGUGGGUCCAGUAUUCGGAAUGGCAUCUAAAAGGGCACGUGGCUCGGUGAUCUGAUGCGUCACUUUGGUAAGCGAGUACCCUAGAGAAUGCACGUGGGCCCGGGCAUCGUAAAAAGGGCACGUGGCUCGGUGACUUGAUGUACCACCUUGGCGAAGAGGUCGCCUUAGAGAAUGCACGUGGGCCCGAGGUUCGAGGCAUGUGGACUCGGAGACUUGGAAUGUCGUCCUAGAGAAUGUACGUGGCCUCGCUUUUAGAUACUCCUCUGUGGAGAGUGAUUUGUUUGACAUGUAAUCGACGAGGUCGAUGCUUUGAUUUGAUGUGAAUUGAUUGACUGAAUGGGAAUGACCGUGAGUGGUCUUGUUGGAAUAUAAUCGACUAGGUUGAUUUGAUCGAUGCUUCGAUCGGUGAUAUGAUUGCUUGGGUGCCUAUUAUGAAUUGUACUGACUUGCAGGUGGGAUCAGAGGCCAAGGUAAGUCAUCUGCCCUGUGCGUGUUUAGGCAGCCUAUAGUAUAAUAGUUUACUAAUCGGGCUUAGUGGGGUAGAACUCGCUGAGACGUAGUCUCAUCCCAGUUUGGGGAAAACCAUUUCAGGACCUCGCUGAAGAGCUGAGAAGGAGGAAUCCGAGAAGGAGGACUCGAAGGGGAAUCUUAAGGAGAAAGAUUUUUGGAGGAAGAAGGCAAUCCUGAGAGGGGCCUUGAGUAUGGCCUGGAUGGGCUGAGAGUCUAUCUUCUUUUGAGAAUUCAUUUUGAUGUGAAUAGUUAUGAAGUGAUUUGUGUUUUGUAUAAAAGUUUGGUUAUAAAUUUCAAUAUGAAAAAUAUGGCCCUGCUUUUCUAUCCCAUCGUUUUAUUGUCUGGGGAUUUUAACUGCUUCCGCAUGUGCUUAAUAAAUGAAAGGGUCGGCGAUACUAGUCCUGGGAUAUCGCAUUAUAAAAUCGACCAAAGGAGAAGGAUGUGUGCGUG
rnacentral:lncRNA from 1 species